CUCUUCUGUCUGUGCACUCCCCUCCUCCGCACUCUCAGUCUCCACCCUUCACACCUCUCCAGGUUCGAAGACAGCUGAGCAAACUCCCCACCAGCAAGGCUGCUGGACCUGAUGGUGUUAGCCCUCGGGUCCUCAAAGACUGUGCUGACCAGCUCUGUGGAGUGCUUCACCGGGUCUUCACCAUGAGCCUGAGUCUCCAGCGGGUCCCUGUGCUGUGGAAGACGUCCUGCAUAGUGCCGGUGCCGAAGACACCGCGGCCCAGUGGUUCUUCGGACUACCGACCAGUGGCACUGACGUCACACAUCAUGAAGACCCUGGAGAGACUCAUUCUGGAACAGCUCCGGCCUACUGUUAGGCCUCACCUGGACCCUCUCCAGUUCGCCUACCAGCCCCAGCUGGGAGUUGAGGAUGCCAUCAUCUACCUGCUGAACCGGGUCUACACCCACCUGGACAAGCCAGCGAGCACUGUGAGAGUCAUGUUUUUUGACUUCUCCAGUGCCUUCAAUACCAUCAAGCCGGCUCUCCUGGGUGAGAAACUGACAGCGAUGCAGGUAGAGCUCCCCCUUGUGUCAUGGAUUGUGGAUUAUCUAACUGGUAGACCACAGUAUGUGCGGAUGCAGCGGUGUUUGUCUGAUACAGUGGUCAGCAGCACCGGAGCUCCACAAGGGACAGUCCUCUCUCCCUUCCUCUUCACGCUCUACACCUCUGACUUCAGCUACCAGACAGAGUCAUGUCACCUUCAGAAGUUUUCUGAUGACUCUGCCAUAGUGGGAUGUAUCAGCAAAGGUGGAGAGUCUGAGUACAGGACUGUGGUUGACAACUUUGUUACAUGGUGCGAGCGGAACCAUCUGCUGCUCAAUGUGGCAAAGACAAGGGAGCUGGUUGUGGACCUGAGGAGGACCAAGACACUCGCGGCUCCAGUUUCCAUCGGUGGGCAGAGUGUGGACAUUGUGGAGGAUUACAAAUACCUGGGAGUGGUGUUGGACAAUAAACUGGACUGGACUAAAAACACUGAAGCCCUCUACAAGAAGGGCCAGAGCCGCCUCUAUUUUCUGAGGAGGCUCCGGUCCUUUAACAUCUGUCGGACUAUGCUGAGGAUUUUUUAUGAGUCUGUGGUUGCCAGUGCCAUUUUGUUUGCUGUUGUGUGCUGGGGCAGCAGACUGAAAGCAGCGGACACAAACAGACUCAACAAACUGAUCAGAAGGGCCGGGGAUGUGGUGGGGGUGGAGCUGGACUCCCUGACAGCAGUGUCAGACAGAAGGAUGCUGUCUAAGCUGCAGGGGAUCCUGGAGAACAGCUUCCAUCCUCUACACCACGUGCUGCUGAAGUGCAGGAGUACGUUCAGUGCCAGACUG
rnacentral:lncRNA from 1 species